GGUGAUGGAGAGCCGCGGCUGCACCACGGCGUCACCGAUGGCCACGGUGGGCUGAUAGGUCUCCCGGUUCUGCUCCUGGUCGCUGCCG
rnacentral:tRNA from 1 species